rnacentral:rRNA from 1 species
GGCAUGGUUUGGCACCUCGAUGUCGGCUCGUCGCAUCCUGGGGCUGGAGUAGGUCCCAAGGGUUGGGCUGUUCGCCCAUUAAAGCGGUACGCGAGCUGGGUUUAGAACGUCGUGAGACAGUUCGGUCCCUAUCCGCUGCGUGCGUAGGAAAUUUGUGGAGGUCUGUCCUUAGUACGAGAGGACCGGGACGGACGAACCUCUGGUGUGCCAGUUGUUCCGCCAGGAGCAUGGCUGGUUGGCUACGUUCGGGAUGGAUAACCGCUGAAAGCAUCUAAGCGGGAAGCCGGCUCCGAGAUGAGAUUUCCAACUGACAUAUGUCAGGUGAGGUGUCCUAUAGAUGAUGGGGUUGAUAGGCCGGGUAUGGAAGCACUGUAAGGUGUGGAGUUGACUGGUACUAAUACACCGAUCACUCAUCAACCAUUUUCUUGUGG